AGAAUCAACGCUGGCGGCGUGCCUAACACAUGCAAGUCGAACGCUUUUGGGGCUUCGGUCCCAAAGGAGUGGCGCACGGGUGAGUAGCGCGUGGGAACCUGCCCUGUUGUGGGGGAUAACCGAGGGAAACUUCGGCUAAUACCGCAUACGCCCGGGGGAAACUCCGGGGAAAGAUUUAUCGCAGCAGGAGGGGCCCGCGUCGGAUUAGGUAGUUGGUGGGGUAACGGCCCACCAAGCCUGUGAUCCGUAGCUGGUCUGAGAGGAUGAUCAGCCACACUGGGACUGAGACACGGCCCAGACUCCUACGGGAGGCAGCAGUGGGGAAUAUUGGACAAUGGGCGCAAGCCUGAUCCAGCAAUGCCGCGUGAGUGAUGAAGGCCUUCGGGUUGUAAAGCUCUUUCGCACGCGACGAUGAUGACGGUAGCGUGAGAAGAAGCCCGGCUAACUUCGCGCCAGCAGCCGC
rnacentral:rRNA from 1 species